rnacentral:rRNA from 1 species
AAACAUUGAUUAUAUAUUACACCAAACAUCCGCCUGGGUAUUACGAACAUCAGUUUAAAACCCCAAGGACUUGGCGGUGCUUAACAUCCACCUAGAGGAGCCUGUCCUAGAACCGAUAAUCCCCGUUCAACCUCACCCUCCCUUGUUCCUUCCCGCCUGUAUACCUCCGUCGUCAGCUUACCCUGUGAAGGCUUAAUAGUAAGCAAGAUUGGCACAUCCCCUAAUACGUCAGGUCAAGGUGCAGCGCAUGAGAGGGGAAGAAAUGGGCUACAUUCGCUAAGAUAGCGAACACGAAUGUUGCAUUGAAACAUACAACUGAAGGAGGAUUUAGCAGUAAGAAGGAAGUAGAGUGUCCU